rnacentral:misc_RNA from 1 species
CCGUUGUACUGCGGUCGACUACCGGCGCCGUGUCCCGUCAAUCUUGUGGCUUCGAAUCACUAGAUUAAUAGUGCUUGCGUGCUAUUACCCGGCCUACGGGAAGUGGUGCUUYGUAUAUUUGUUGCCUCGCGGCGGACGCCCUUUGGGUGUGCCGUUGCGGCCAAAUAGCGCUUGCGGCGUUGCCUCAUGGCGCCGGCACGUAUGUGCCUGCUGCUAUCAAGGCAACCUCGCUCCCGCUGUUGGUAUCGGAUGCUGCUCACGAUAAAGAGUCGUGGCCCUUUUGGUUGCCUCGACCCUACCAAAAGCUCUUCGAACUGAGAACAACCGGAACACGAGUUGCCUCUACCUCUCCACAGUUACGUGGUAGGAUACGCGACUCUCUGCGCCGAUCCUCAUGGACGAUGAGCUAUGCCGCUCAAAAGCGACAACCGGUCCGGCUGUUUCCUAUGAGUUUCCACGCAACUGGAAGAGCAGGGAGACGGCCGACGCUGGGCGUCACCGAGGACGUGCUACCUGGUUGAUCCUGCCAGUAGUC